AAGUCGAACGGAGCUUAGAGAGCUUGCUUUUUAAGCUUAGUGGCGAACGGGUGAGUAACGCGUGAGUAACCUGCCCUAGAGUGGGGGACAACAGUUGGAAACGACUGCUAAUACCGCAUAAGCCCACGGGUCGGCAUCGACCAGAGGGAAAAGGAGCAAUCCGCUUUGAGAUGGACUCGCGUCCAAUUAGCUAGUUGGUGAGGUAACGGCCCACCAAGGCGACGAUUGGUAGCCGGACUGAGAGGUUGAACGGCCACAUUGGGACUGAGACACGGCCCAGACUCC
rnacentral:rRNA from 1 species